rnacentral:rRNA from 1 species
GGCUUAGAGUUUGAUCAUGGCUCAGGAUGAACGCUGGCGGCGUGCCUAACACAUGCAAGUCGAGCGAAGCACUUGCUUUUGAUUCUUCGGAUGAAGAAGCUUGUGACUGAGCGGCGGACGGGUGAGUAACACGUAGGUAACCUGCCUCACACAGGGGGAUAACAGUUAGAAAUGACUGCUAAUACCGCAUAAGCGCACAGGGCUGCAUGGCCUGGUGUGAAAAGCUCCGGCGGUGUGAGAUGGACCUGCGUCUGAUUAGCCAGUUGGCGGGGUAACGGCCCACCAAAGCGACGAUCAGUAGCCGGCCUGAGAGGGUGGACGGCCACAUUGGGACUGAGACACGGCCCAGACUCCUACGGGAGGCAGCAGUGGGGAAUAUUGCACAAUGGGGGAAACCCUGAUGCAGCGACGCCGCGUGAGCGAAGAAGUAUCUCGGUAUGUGAAGCUCUAUCAGCAGGGAAGAAAAUGACGGUACCUGACUAAGAAGCACCGGCUAAAUACGUGCCAGCAGCCGCGGUAAUACGUAUGGUGCAAGCGUUAUCCGGAUUUACUGGGUGUAAAGGGAGCGUAGACGGAGAAGCAAGUCUGGAGUGAAAGCCCGGGGCUCAACCCCGGGACUGCUUUGGAAACUGUUUGUCUAGAGUGCCGGAGAGGUAAGCG